GGGGGUGAUCCGGUUUCGACGGGAUGUGCCGAAGUCGGGUUGCGCGUCGUGGAUCCUCGUUGGCCACGUAAAAAACGAGGGAAAAAAGUAAUUGCCAACAACGAUUACGCUCUUGCCGCCUAAGUAAUGGCCGCAUGUCGAAGCGCCGAUGUCUGCUGAGCGCCUAGGCAUAAUAUAGCAGAUCACGCUGCAGGGUUCUCCGCUCGGACGCUGCAGGGUGCCGAACCGAACGGAUGGAAGGGGAUAAGCCCGCUUGGUCGGCGUACUCCUUCCGAGAUUAAAGGCCAGAUACACGCGUAGAUGCUCGGGUGAAGCCGUUUCGGACAGGGGUUCGACUCCCCUCACCUCCACCA
rnacentral:tmRNA from 1 species